CAUUUUGACUGACUUGUACUCGUUUAAUGAAAACAGAUCAGACCUCUCUGGAGGCAUUACUUCCAGAACACACAGGGUCUUAUCUUUGUUGUGGAUAGCAAUGACCGUGACCGUGUUGUUGAAGCCAGAGAUGAGCUGCACAGGAUGCUGAACGAGGAUGAGCUACGUGAUGCUGUGCUGCUUGUUUUCGCCAACAAGCAAGAUCUUCCUAAUGCCAUGAAUGCUGCUGAGAUCACUGACAAGCUUGGAUUACACUCCCUGCGCCAGCGACACUGGUACAUCCAGAGCACUUGUGCCACAACUGGCGAGGGUCUGUACGAGGCCUGGACUGGCUGUCCAGCAACAUUGCGAGCAAGGCUUGAAUAUCAAAUGCGAACUGACUAGGAGCUCCGGAUGUAUCAUGGAAACUUAGGACAGAAUCGCCUCU